CUAAUGCAAUUGCAGAUUCCUACAUUUCUUCCUGAAGGUGGCAGUAUUUUAGUGACAAAAACUGACAACAAGCUGAGUAACUGUACCAGAGCUCUCGGAGAUCAACAAAGGUGCCGCUUUUGAAUGUGAAAGUUUUUUCAAGACUUUUCUAUUUCUUGGUUUGAAUCGUGUGCCUGUAGGGACACAUGCUGCCUGCUUACUGAACAGUGACUACUUAGGAUAAGGACUCAGACACACAAGUGGAGAAGAUAAAUAGUAAUUUGGAACCAAAACUCAGGACGUCCCAGGAGAGGCUAGAUUAGGAAUUCUUUGAUUUGGGAUCACGAAAAUGAAGUAUCCAUAUUUUAACAGAAUGAUUAGUGGCAGAGGAAUCAUCUAAGAAAACUGAGAAGACUCUGCCAGAGUGAUGGGAAGAAAACUAGAUGAGAAAGCACCGUUCUGGAAGACAUGCUCCCAUGAACCAUGGAGUGAAGAGGAGAGGGAAGAAGUUAUUUGUGAUGUCAUUUGCCUGUGUCAUGGCCUGCCUUCCCUAGAUAUUGUCCUAAUGUGAGCAUCACACCUAAGGUACUGAAGUAGAGUUCUGGCUGUUCCUUACGGACAUCUCUGGUGAAAUAGCAUCUCACUUGGUUACCCAAGCUGGAGUGCAGUGUGAGAUCAUGGAUCGCUGCAGCCUGCCGUCUGGAACUCCUGGUCUCAAGUGAUCCUCCCACAUCAGUCUUCUGAAUAGCUAGGACUACAGAGAUGAGAUCUUGCCAUGUUGUCCCAGGGUGGUCUCAAACUCCUGGCCUCAAGCAAUCCUCCUGCCUUGGCCUCCCAAAGUGCUGGGAUUACAGCUACCGUGUGAAAAAGGACAUGUUUGCUUCCCCUUCUGCCAUAAUUGUAAGUUUCCUGAGGCCUCCCCAGCCAUGCAGAACUGGUCUUGCUCCAUCACCCAGGCCAGAGUGCAGUGGCACAAUCACAGCUCGCUGUGGACCCAAUCUCCUGGACUCAAGGGAUCUUCCUGCCUCAGCCUCCUGAGUAGCUGGGACUAUAGGUGUGCACCACCAUGCCCAGCUAGUUUUUGUAUUUUUAAUAAAGAUGAGGUUUCACCAUGUUGCCCAGGCUGUUCUCAAAUUCCUGGACUCCAGUAAUCCUCUUGUCUCAGCCUCCUAAAAUGCUGCGAUUAUAGGAAUGAGCCACCAUGCCUCGCCAUUGUAGUGUUAUUCUUAAUGAUGUUAAAAUGUUCCUAUCUUUGACCACUGAAAGCCUCUCUAAGUUAGCUCCUGGGUCCUCCUAAUAUGACCUUGGGUGUCUUCACUAUCUUCUUUGUUAUGUGUAUGACAAGAUAUUCCAAGCUUAUCUUGUGCAUUUUUUCUCUGUAGCACUGGAAUCAACCAAGAUAGAGUAUGAGAGAAGGAUCAAGGGUAAGUUGUGUUCUCAGGGCACUGCCAAGUUUCAUUUAAAGCAAAAAGGUUAUAGAGACUAACCAAAGGGAAAGCUGAAUUUAUAGGCAAUUUUUCUGAUGGCAGUUCAUGCUUGCUACAGGACAGAGAGAAAGAUUAUUAGAAGUAAGCAAAGGGUGAGAGAUUAGGUAAAAUGAAUUGAGUAAAAGAAGAAAAGGAGAUGAGAUGAAUGAAAGCCCAGUAAAUACUAACAUGUAUUGUAUUUUAAGCAGAUCAGCGUAUGUGUGGUUAUUUUUUGUUCUAAAAAUUCUUGGUAUAUUAAAAAUCACCAUCAAUCAAUUUCCAUGUCACUGGUAGUUGCAUAGACUCAAGCACUGUGCAGGAUUGACUGUUUAAGGAUAUUUUUGACCAUGCCUUUGUUUUGAUCAAAGAUUUACCUGAAGAAAAGCAUUUCUUUACAGAGCUCAGAAAAUUGUGAAGAUUUUCUCCUUCUCAUUGUCUUGGUAUUUUUACUUUGAGUAGUGGGAAUAAUUGUCAGACACUAUAGAGAAAGAGAGUAAAAUGUACUUUAAUUUGUACAUUUUAUUCAUUAAUAAGUCUCCUCCAUUCCCUAUUACAUUACUAUAAUUGUAAUAUAUUUAAAUAUAUUUAUUUCAUCUACAUUCAUUAUGUAAAGAAUCUCAGGAUGUGAACUGCUGGUUAAUAUUUUCUAGUGAAGAAUUGAUGGAUUUCAGAGAAGUUCCGGGGAUGAACAAUACUGUAUUAUCACUUGUAAGGUAAUCUUCCUGGGCAGAAGUCUCUUGAAAUAGUGAAGAGAUGCUAAUGAUGGUAGUUGAAUCGUAAAGUCAUAUUAAUAGUGACAAUAAAUGGUGUGUGUUUGUGCGUGCUUUGGAUGAUUCUCACUGUGAUAGAUGCAGCAACAUCUCUAACUUCAAGAAUUUCAUUAAGUCUAGUGGUAGAGGCAGGUAAGUUAUAGAAAAUAUUGAGGGUAAGUAUUAAGUGCUUUAAGAAAGUAUGCUUGGGCUGCAGGGAGCAUUGUAGGGUUCUCAGAGGAAAUGAUCCUUGCUCCUUUUUGGAAUCAUUCCAAGCAGAGGGAACAGCAAGUUCAUGUGUAUAUAAUGGGGGAAGGAUAGGAGAUAAGGUUGUAAUGUGGCUCUAUCUAAUGGACCUUUAUGCCAUACUAAAGAGUUUGUACUUUAUCCUAUACAAAUUAGGUAAGGGCAAAGGAAUUAGGUAAGGGCAAGGUAAAUUUAGUUAAUAGAAUAUAACUAGAAGAUUUUUAGUAAUUAGGUAUGGGAGAUUAGGGGAAGGGACAAGUUAAGUGUGCUUCCCAGGUCUCUGAUUUUAAUAACCCAAUGAAUAAUAGAGUGGAGUUGGGUGGGAUACAAAAGAGCAGCCAUUGGGGAAGAGCGAAUAUGAUGAAUUUGGUAUUUAUAUAUCUCUAUUAGUAUAUUUAUCUAUAAUUGUGUGUGAGUGUAUCUCUCAUAGUACUUUUUGACCUUAGCUAUCUCUCGGGAUAACCUUUCUACAUUUCACAGAUAACAAAAUGUAUUCUCAUGUUUUGACUAGGAAACAUUCAUCUUGUCUUGCUGCCCUUUUAGUUGUUUACUUGUUCUGUACACUUUCUUGUUUUUUUGAGUAAUGUUAUGUACUCAGUGGAUAUUUUUAUAAUGAAAAGUCACACAUCGGACUUUUUCUCACAGAUACAAUAUUAGUCUCUUUAGGAAAGUGUCAUCACACAAAAAUGGGCCAGAUUCAAAGUUAGAAGAAUAUGUCUUGCUGGUUGCAAGGGGUUUCGUACUUGCCAGCUAAUCUAAAGUUUAAGGGAGGAGUCAACUGAAAAUCCAUGAGGAAGACAAGGACAGCAUGGAAAAAGACAGAGUAAUGCUAGAAUGGAAAAGAAGGCACAGUUUACAAAACUGCUCACACACAUUUCUGGCUAGCAUGACAGUAUGCCAGAUUAACUUGCUAUUUGUUUCAUGUAUAAUUUUUAAAAUGGAAACAUUUAUACCUCUGAAAGUACAAAUGUUGAGACAGAUGUGGAUUUCCAUUUUUUUAUUUAACCAAAUUCCCUGGCUUUAAAGGAGUUAGCCCAAAGUUAUGAAGAGUCAUGGAGCACCACCCAGCAUAUCUCAUGUGUCUUUUUUCUGCCUUGGUUUAGCCUCUUAUUACCUCACUCUUGACCUAUUGAAAUAGCUUCCUACCUUUUAUGACCUUAGUUCCAGACUUCCUUCCUUCUGAUGUAUUUCAAACACUACUAGAAAGAACUUUAACUGCCAUUCUUCCAGUCUUAACAAUAUGUGUGUUCCUUGAGUCAGUUUGUUAUCUACAACAAGACUUCUAGCUUUGUUUUUCACUUCAUUGUGAGGUUAAUGUUUUUGACAUUUCUCUCCAAAAGGCUUGAAUGAAGUCCAAAUAUUUCACUUCAUCAUUUAAAGUCCUCCAUGAUCUGACUGCAAAUUUAUUAGCAGCCAUAUUUCCCUUCAGCCAUCAUGAACCAUGUCACAUCUCUUGUUCAUGUCUCUUCAACUUCACAUGGCCUUGCUACUCAUCACUCAAGUAUAGGCACCAUGAAAGCUGAUCUCCAGAGACUAAAGCAAUGGGAAGACUUUGAAAUGAAGAAAAGCACUCAUUCAUCUUAGCGCAUAGUAAAUGCUUAGCAAUUGUUCUUUGGACCCAAUUUAAUUAAUUAAUUUAAUCAAUUAAUAAGUAAAGUUAAAAACCACCUUGGAGGUGUUUUAUGGUUUGAAAACUCAUGUUAAAAUUUAAGUACCAUUGACUUGUAAGAGUUAGGUGAUGAGGGUUCCCUGAUCAUGGGUGGGAUCAGUACCACCAUAAAAGGGCAAGUUCAGCCCCUUCUUUCACCCUCUUCUUCCACCAUGUGUGGAUGCAGCAAGAAGGUCCUUGCCAAAUACUGGCAUCUUGACCUUGGACUUCCCAUCCUCCAGGACUGUGAGCCAAUACAUUUCUGUGCAUUAUAAAUUACCCAGUCUCAGUCAUUCUGCUAUAGCAGCACAAAAGACAAAGUGGUUGUUGGAUAGGUUCCUAAUCUCUAGAAUACGUUAUCUCUAAACACACAUACAGAUCUCUCUUUUUACAAACAAUCAAAAACUAGUGAAAAUAAAAUUACAGCCAGUUUUGGUAUUGCCAUUUCAAUGAUUAGCAACUUUGAUAAUAACGGCCAUGCUUUAUUGAAAACUGACUGUGCCAGGCAAUCUAAUUACUAAGUAAAUUAUCAUGAGAUCUUUAAAACUACCUUGUGAGGACUCUAUCAAUUUAAAUAAUGAGCGUAUUGAGGCUGAGGCUGUCUUUUAUUUGCUAAGUACCUCAACUGAGAUUUAAAUAUUGAUCUGAGUGACUCCAAAGCUCAACCCAGUCAGCCAUCUGCAUUCUUUCAUUUAGGAAAUAUUUUUGUUAACUGACUUAUAUGUCUUGUGUGACACUCACAGUGGAGACACAACCAUGACCAAGAAACCUGGGUAUCUCUCCCUAAUGGAGAUUUGAUGGCUAUAUUGCCAACAAAGGAAGAAGAUAACCUGAAUAAAAUCCCUAAGUGAAGUUUCAGAAUUUAAGUCCAUUCUGAUCAUCAUUUUGUAUAGUAAUUGAAUAUUACAAGCUGGAAUCCAGUGGUGAAAGUAAAUUUUGAGAAUAUUCCUAACUGUGCUACCUGAUUACAGUUUAAAGACCUGUAUAUUCUGAAGAACAGGAGGUCCCAGGACUGCCUUUCUCUAUGCUUCCUCAUUAACCUAAUUUCCUCUGCCUAUUUUAUCUCCAGUCAUCCCUAGGAUACACUGAUUGUAAUGCCUCAGUGGGUGAAUGGAAGGUAAAACCACACAGGUACAAAACAAAUUGACUGCAGAAUCAUCCGUUUUAUUUCACAGCAUCAGCAGAUUUUUGUCCUUAUGAUUUUUGUUUUAAAAGAAAAUGUAGUAUGGCUAAGUCAAUGAACUUUUAAUUCUUUAAUUGUGUAGUGGGUGUUCGUUAUCUGUUACAGGGGAACCACAGAAUAUUGCAUUCUUUUUUUUUUCCUGAGUUAGGUCAGUAAGGAAUGUUCUAGCUCCUUCUUGACUGCCUUCUUCCUGCUUCUCUAAUCAGUAAGGACAUUUUUUGUCUCUCCACUUCAGAUCUUCUUUUAGUACCUCCAAGUAGUAAUAAUUAACACAUGAAAAUCCCCCAUGAUUUUGGUAUUGUGACUUAUAUAUGGCAUGUCGAUUAUCUUAUUUUAGCCUUAAAUUACCAUCAAAAGAAGGUAGAUUUGGUAGCAUUUUCAUUUCUAUUUUACAGAUGAGGACACGAUCCUCUUCUUUCUAAAUGUAAAAACAACAACAACAACAACAACUAGUAUUUGUAGUCCUGCUACCAUCAGAAACAUCAACCGCAGUUGUAGCAGAGGACCAGGAGAAAUAUAAGCUGAACUCGGGUUCCUAUUCCUCAUUUUCUGUUGUAUUUAUCAAUAAGUAUAGCACUGAGUCAAGAGCAUGACCUUGGACUAGCAAAGCAGAAGACGUCUCAGCUCUGACACUUUGUAGCUGUGUGUUCUUGGGCAAGUUAUUUGACCUGUCUAAAUAUCAAUUUCAUACUCUAAAAAGAUGAGGAUUCUAAUAUUUAAAACCUACCUCAAUGAAAUAAUGUUAGGAACUAUUUAAUAUCCAGAUCAUCCUCAUUAUACUUACACUCAUCUAUUCAAACUGCAUAUGUUGUUCUAGUAUUCGUUCAUUCCUUCAACGAAUAUUUGAAUGUCCACCAUGUAUUAGACAUUGGCAGUGAACCAGACACACAUAGUCCCUGUCCUCAUUAGAAUAUACAUAGCAGAGUGUCUAGUUCAUUCAGAUAUCAGAAUCUACACAGUGUAUUUAAGAACAGUCAAAUGUCAAAGGUCAGGAUUUUGAUAAGGAGCUAAACAGGAGAUGGACAAUGAACUUCCAAUAAGGAAAAAGGAAAACUAGGCAUAUACUGUUGUUCUAGAAACCAAGCCAAGGAAGUGUUUCCAGAUGAUGGUAGUGAUCAACUGCAUUAAAUGCCUCUGAGAAUUAGAGUAAGUGAGAGUCUGAGUAUGGAACGUUGAUUUGGACAAGAUGGACAUCAUUGGUGUUCUUGAUAAGGACAGGUUUAAUGAAGAAUGGGAGAACAGAAAACAACUACUUGGUACAUAUACAUUUUCAGGAAUGAAUUUCCAGCAUCCUUAGCUCAUGAUUACUAGAAUUCUUCUGUUCUCAAAAAGAAUAUUCAUCUUUUGGUAGUGUGGGUGACUUACUCAAACUGAGCAUCUGCAGUACUGCUAUCGACAUACCUAUUCACCAUCAAGUCUUUAUCACUGUUAUCAGAAUAUCUGGAAAUAUAAUACAUCUUUUGAACUAGCCUACCCAUUGCUGGUUUCCCUUUAUACUUACCAUUGAGUACACUCUAAUAUCCGGUGAUAAACAUUCAUCACCCUAUCUUAUUUUUCAAAUAUCUAGAAUUAUUUUUUUUGAGACACAGUCUUGCUCUAUCAUCCAGGCUGAAGUGCAGUGGCACAAUCAUGACUUACUGCAACCUCUGCCUCUCAGGCUCAAACAAUCCUCCCACCUCAGCCUACCAAGUAGCUGGGACUAUAGGCAUGGGCCACCACACCUUGAUAGUUUUUCAUUUUUUGUAGAGACAAGGUUUUCCAUAUUGCCCAGGCUGGGAUAUCUAGAAUUUCAUAAUGUGUGACAAAAAACAUAACUCUUGAUAGUCUGAUGAGAUGUUCAGUAUUUUGGGAGAUUUCAGCCAUUUUAAGAAACUUGUGCCACCAUUUUUAGGCUUCUUUUAGUACAUGGCACUUAUUUCCCAUGCAGAACAAGACAUGGGCAUCUUUUCUUCUGACAUGGAUUUACUUCAUAUAAAGUAACUGGGAGACAAGCACAUUUGAGUAAAUCUCUCGUUUGGAGUUUUCAUUUUUGGUCUCAAACAUUAAGUGUAUAAGCUCUGGCACUUGAUUUCUUGUUUGGGGAGAAUGCUGAGAGACUUGAGAGACGGCGUGCAAGCUUGCUUUUGAGUUUGACUGCCAGGGCUGGGGUAUCUAACUUUGGUUGAUAAUCACUCUCACAUUUGAGACAAGAGCAGGGGCACUCACUCUAGAAGUUAUAAAUGAUGUUUCAGCCUGGAUUGAUUUAUCAAAUUGAUAAAGCCAAAAAUAAUCCAUUCAGAGUGAUUUUAUUACUUCUUACAAAAGAUUUUAAAUUUUGCUUCUAUUAAAAAAUUACCAUAAAUGGAACAUAAAAUAAAAUAUAUUUUGUAACAUGUGGAAUAUCUGACAUUUAACUGCAGCUUUCCCCUUGUUAUUAUGAGCAUGUAAAAGAAUUCUAGUAUCUUAAUUUUUAAAAAUGUAAUGAAGAUUUAGAGAAUGGCUAGGAUUUUUGUUUUUUAAUUUAACUGUAAGUAUUUUGUAAGUGAAUAAAGCAGGGUUUUGUUUUUCAAUAAAAGCCUUACCUUAAGGCUUGUUUAUUAACAUAUAAAGUUGUGGAAAUUGGCUUUAUUGGUUACAAACAACACAUACUUUCAACAUUUGGAAAAAAAUGCUAUUUGUUUAGCAUUUUGGUUUGUAAAGACAGAACUUUUAUUUAUUUAUUUAUUUUGAGACGGAGUCUUGCUCUGUCGCCCAGGCUGGAGUGCAAUGGUGUGAUCCCUGCUCACUGCAACCUCUGCCUCCUGGGUUCAAGCAAUUCUCCUGCCUCAGCCUCCUGAGUAGCUGAGAUUACAGGCACGUGCCACCACGCCCGGCUAAUUUUUUGUAUUUUUAGUAGAGAUGGGGUUUCACCAUGUUGGCCGGGCUAGUCUCAAGCUCCUAACUUCGUGAUCUGCCCGCCUUGGCCUCCCAAAGUGCUGAGAUUGCAGGCAUGAGCCACUGCACCCAGCAUAAAGACUUAACUUUUAAAUGUAUACCUUUAAGAUUUUCUUGUAGAAAGAUCCUUACAUAAGUUUUCUAAAGCUAGAGCCUUUCUUAGUCUGCUUUCCUAACCAAGUGUGAGUGUAACAAACUUUUCACCCAAGGAUGAGUUACCUGUCUCAUGUAGAUGGACUAUGAGCAAUGUAGGCCAUUGCUUCAUUAUGUGAGAUAGAAUAUGUUCAGUUAUUUAUUUACAGAAUCUAUGAGUGCUUGCCUAUCAUUGAAUAUGUGCAACAAAUCCAUAGGGUGAAUGCUAUGAAGCUAUUUCUGUCAAGGGAAAGCUAUUCACCAAAUAGAGAAAUCACAGCUAUCAUGUUUAAAGGUAUACAUGCAUCUAUAGGAAAGGAAUAGGGCCUCCAGUGCACAUAACAUGCCAUUUCUUUGUGUAGGUUGCACUGGGGAAAGAUAUUUUAAGAAAUAUAGGUAGUACUCAUAGCAGAUAGGAAUAGCAGAUCAUUUGCUUCUUGCUGCUCACAUUUGCUAAGACUCUUAUGAAGAUUUUCCCUGGGCACAUGAAUCAGUUUAAUAAUGAUUGCUGCCAGUUGGUGGCUAGACAUCAGACUGCCAGCCUACUCAACAGUGUUGCCAUCUGCUAUUUGGAUUCACAGUGUGUUGCUGCUACGCACCACCUCAUUAAGAACAGGACCCUUGUGAGCCAUAGACAGUGGCUUAUUCAAGCGAGCGAAGCAAACUCCUCCCCAAGCCAAAUUUGUAGAGGCUGCAUGCAUCUCAUCUUAUUUGGAGAUUGCUCUACGUUGAUCAUGCAGUCUGAUAGCUCAUUGUCUCUGAUCACUUAGGUUUAAUAUUUCAAGCCAGCUCCUUGUUUCAAAUUAGUGUCAAAAUACAAAUAUGAUUAUUUCAAAGACUUGUAAAAACUACUCACUCCAAUUUUUUUUUGGUAAUGCAUUCAUAUCUUAAAGUGGUAUUAGUCAGUGGCUUGCCAAACAAAUAUUUUAAUAAGUUAUUAUAAUCCACUGGGCUUUUCUGGAUAGAUCUUCCAGUCCUGAAGAUUUUUCAGUUUUGUAGAAUUCCUACUGCAGUUUUUAUUUCUUGGAAAUGGACUUUCAAAGGCUUUAAUCAUAUUUUCUCUUUUCCUCUCCCGUUAAAUAUCUAAAAGCAGCUGGAAUGCAAAACAUUUGUAUCUGUCAGAUAGACAUGAGUGCAUUUUACCUGACAACCACGGAUUAUCUUAGAGUUCUAAACACUGUUACAGAGAAAAGAAAAUUUAUUUGCGUAGGUCACAUAAUAUUUAGAUCCUCUCCGUAGCACCUCCAUAGAUAGUAGAUCCUGCAGUACUUUAAGCAUUAGAGUUACAUAUCAAAAUUAAGCUAGUUUCAAAUCUCAAAGGAAUUCAUAAGCUGAGAUUUAAGUCUUGGGUACCCCUCCCCUUACUUUCCACAUAGGUACUUAGUUCUCACACCUGCACUUACCAGCAUCCAGAAUAUAUUUCUUAAGCCCUACACUUGUUAGGUACUCUAUGAAAAAAGGUUUUAGGCCAGGCACGGUGGCUCACGCCUAUAAUCCCAGCACUUGGGAAGCCCAGGCGGGCGGAUCACUUGAGGUCAGGAAUUUGAGACUAGCCUCACUAACAUGGUGAAAGCCCCAUCUACACUAAAAAUACAAAAAGUUAGACAGGCGUGGUGGUGGGUACCUGUAAUCCCAGCUACUCGGGAGGCUGAGGCAGGAUAAUUGCUUGAGCCUGGGAGGCAGAGGCUGCAGUGAGCCGAGAUUGCACCACUGCACUCCCUUCCAGGUGAAAGAAGAAGCCUCUGUCAAAAAAAAAAAAAA